UACGUAGGGCGCGAGCGUUGUCCGGAAUUAUUGGGCGUAAAGAGCUCGUAGGCGGCCUGUUGCGUCCGCUGUGAAAUCCCGGGGCUCAACCCUGGGCGUGCAGUGGAUACGGGCAGGCUGGAGGCAGGCAGGGGAGAGCGGAAUUCCUGGUGUAGCGGUGAAAUGCGCAGAUAUCAGGAGGAACACCGGUGGCGAAGGCGGUUCUCUGGGCAUUACCUGACGCUGAGGAGCGAAAGUGUGGGGAGCGAACAGG
rnacentral:rRNA from 1 species